UAUCUCUAGUAUUCAAAAGUG
rnacentral:miRNA from 1 species